UACGUAGGGCGCAAGCGUUGUCCGGAAUUAUUGGGCGUAAAGAGCUCGUAGGCGGCUUGUCACGUCGGUUGUGAAAGCCCGGGGCUUAACCCCGGGUCUGCAUUCGAUACGGGCAGGCUAGAGUUCGGUAGGGGAGAGUCGGAAUUCCUGGAUGUAGCGGUGGAAAUGACGCAGAUAUCAGGAGGAACACCGGUGGCGAAGGCGGAUCUCUGGGCCGAUACUGACGCUGAGGAGCGAAAGCGUGGGGAGCGAACAGG
rnacentral:rRNA from 1 species